rnacentral:rRNA from 1 species
ACGUAGGGGGCGAGCGUUAUUCGGAAUUACUGGGUGUAAAGGGUAUGUAGGCGGCCCUUCAAGUCGCGUGUCUACGUCCCGUGCUCAACGCUGGGUGUGCGCGCGAUACUGACGGGCUUGAGGGCUGGAGAGGUGAGCGGAAUUCCCGGUGGUGUGGUAAAAUACGUAGAGAUCGGGAGGAACAUCAGCGGCGCAGGCAUCUCACUAGACAGUGUCUGACGCUAAGAUACGUGCGCGUGGGGAGCAAACAG